AUCGGAAGGUCGUGAGAGGGAAAUGUCUCGUCUUGCUGAAGGCUACAGCUGCUGCGUGCAUGAAAUAAAUCACUGCUUUCAGCUCUAAUCUGACCAUGAACUUGGAAAAAUAAAAGACAAGCUUAUGGCACAUAAUUUCAUCAGUUAAAAACAGUUGGUUUUGAAAGCAACAAACAUCCAAAUCUAAGCUUCCUGUGUCGGCUCGGCUGUUGCUACAUGUGGAAGAGUCACGGAGGGCUUCCUCUGCAGAGGGAAAAGGUGAUGCUGAAGAAUGCAGGGAAAGCAGAGACAAAGGUCCAGGAGGAGUGGAAUGUAACGGCUCGACCGAUCAGAUGGACGUGCAAAACUGAGUGAAAGCACCUCCAAGAAGCACACACCCACCAGAAGAUGUACAAGACGGGGACGGAGACUGCAAUCAGAUUAAAAGGGGACCGGGAUGAACGAUCAAGGAGAGAUGAGGAGACGAGCGUCCCUAAGAAUAGAAUACAAAUGGAGUGAAGGAGAGUGCGGCGGGGAGGUGGGGGCGGCGAUGGGGGAACCGAAGACCUGCAGGGACAUGAAUAAAAGAGGGAGCGAAGACGAGGGAGAUCUUUCCCGACAGCAGGACUGUGAAUGGAAGUGGCUCGURUCGUACCGUGAGACCAAGGCCUGUUCGCCACCCUGAACGAUGUCUCUUUGAGGAAAAGGAAAUGCAAUGGGGCUGACACACGUAAAAGUGCACACACAGAUUUCAAAAAUGAGAAAAUCGGCUCACAGUGUGAACUCCCACUGCUCCCACAUCGUAUUUCACAACCAUGUCAUCUUACAUGACCUCAAUUAACCACAAAGGCGUCAAGGCUACUUUCUUCCUCUCUGUAGCCUACUGACCGCUUCAGAGAGACACCUUUAAAAUUUCAGCACUUAUUAGAGAAAGAUUAAACUUAUAGCUAGCAGUGUCAGCUCAACCUUGUGAAGAACAAAGAAAAUGAAGCAGAAACCAAGUUAUUUUGGUGCCCAAAUCAAACCCCCAAGACAAAGACAUCAAGGUCUCAAAUGAGACUCAGAAGAAACUGGGAAUGCAUAAAUGUGGGUCAAACGUGAAAAAAAAUAGUGACACUCGUGUCAAAUCUAUCUCUUUGGCAUGACAUCAUUAGGAUUUUUUUCCACAGCCACCGCUCCGACCUCCAACUGACUGCAGAAACACUGGAGCAUGGAGCCGAAUGAUUAAAACUCUGGUUAUGCUUGACAAGACGUAAGACAUCAGAUUUUGCUAAUUGUGAGUCUUUUUCACAUGGACGCUUCAUACUUAAAUGGAAACUGUGAGUGAGAAGUCCUGGUAUGUCUUCACACUGCAUCACACACCUACAGCAACACACACAGAAGGUUGGCAAAGUGGAUGUUUUAUUUUCCRCUGAUGAUGAAGAAAUAUCUGGUAUCAU